rnacentral:rRNA from 2 species
UAAACGACUCUCGGCAACGGAUAUCUCGGCUCUCGCAUCGAUGAAGAACGUAGCGAAAUGCGAUACUUGGUGUGAAUUGCAGAAUCCCGUGAACCAUCGAGUCUUUGAACGCAAGUUGCGCCCGAAGCCUUCUGGCCGAGGGCACGCCUGCCUGGGCGUCACGC